rnacentral:rRNA from 1 species
GAGUUUGAUCUUGGCUCAGGAUGAACGCUGGCGGCGUGCUUAACACAUGCAAGUCGAACGGGGAUGGUACAUGCGAGGGAGUAGUUUACUAUGACCAGACAAGUGCCAUCCUAGUGGCGGACGGGUGAGUAACGCGUGGGCAACCUGCCCCGUACAGGGGGAUAACACUUAGAAAUAGGUGCUAAUACCGCAUGAGCGCACAAAGGCGCAUGCCUAUGUGCGGGAAGCCCGCGAGGGCGGUACGGGAUGGGCCCGCGUCUGAUUAGCCAGUUGGCAGGGUAACGGCCUACCAAAGCGACGAUCAGUAGCGGCCUGAGAGGGUGGACGGCCACAUUGGGACUGAGACACGGCCCAAACUCCUACGGGAGGCAGCAGUGGGGGAUAUUGCACAAUGGGGAAAACCCUGAUGCAGCGACGCCGCGUGAGUGAAGGAGCGUUUCGGCGCGUAAAGCUCUAUCAGCAGGGAAGACAAACU